rnacentral:rRNA from 1 species
UACGUAGGGUGCAAGCGUUGUCCGGAAUUAUUGGGCGUAAAGAGCGCGCAGGCGGUGUAUCAAGUCAGAUGUGAAAGAGGCCGGCUUAACCGGCAAGGGUCAUUUGAAACUGAUAGACUAGAGUGCAGCAGAGGAUAGUGGAAUUCCCGGUGUAGUGGUGAAAUGCGUAGAUAUCGGGAGGAACACCAGUGGCGAAGGCGACUAUCUGGGCUGCAACUGACGCUGAGGCGCGAAGGCUAGGGUAGCAAACAGG